UUCCCGCGUGUCCCUGAGCUUGUUAAGCUUGC
rnacentral:scRNA from 1 species